ACCAACUGCAAAGCAACCUGCCUAUGUAUUCCUUCAUGGAGAAGCAUAUCAAAAAUAGUGGUAAUACUUUGUGGUGCUGAGGUCAUAAUCAUACUGAUGCUGAUCUUCCUAAGGAAUCGGAUCCUGAUCGCCAUUGCAUGUCAGUACUUAAGGCAGGCAAGGGCCUGGGGACAGAGUCCUCAAAUGCAAAAUAGCGAGAGGUAAUUUCAGGUGUGUAGGAGCCGAGGGAAGAGCAUAUGAGCUGAGCAGCGUGGGACAAGGAAAUAAAGGGUCAUUACUGCAGCAAGAAGAUGUGAUUGAAAUGGGUUUGUGGCGUGGAAAGAGCUGGAUCUGUGAAGCAGUAAUGGAGAAGGAGGAAGUAGAAGACAGGCUGGAACAUGGCAAAUUGAUAAUGUUGAUUCUAGUGCUGCUGAUAAAAGUGGAGUGGUAAAAAUGGCAACAUGAAGAUGUAAAGACAUCUGAAGAAAGAGCCUGCAGUAUUCUGAGAUCCCAGCUCUA